rnacentral:rRNA from 1 species
UAAGAGGUCCCGCCUGCCCUGUGACAAAAAGUUUAACGGCCGCGGUAUUUUGACCGUGCAAAGGUAGCGCAAUCACUUGUCUUUUAAAUGAAGACCUGUAUGAAUGGCAUAACGAGGGCUUUACUGUCUCCUUUUUCAAGUCAAUGAAAUUGAUCUCUCCGUGCAGAAGCGGGGAUAAGACCAUAAGACGAGAAGACCCUAUGGAGCUUUAGACACCAAAGCAGAUCUUGUUAAGAACACUUAAACAAAAGACUAAACCAAAAGAAUCCUGCCCUAAUGUCUUUGGUUGGGGCGACCGCGGGGAAACAAAAAACCCCCAUGUGGACUGAGAGCACACUCUCAAAACCAAGAGCCACAGCUCUAAUUAACAGAAUUUCUGACCUUAAGAUCCGGCAAUGCCGAUCAACGGACCGAGUUACCCUAGGGAUAACAGCGCAAUCCUCUUUUAGAGCCCAUAUCGACAAGGGGGUUUACGACCUCGAUGUUGGAUCAGGACAUCCUAAUGGUGCAGCCGCUAUUAAGGGUUCGUUUGUUCAACGAUUAAAGUCC